rnacentral:rRNA from 1 species
AAUGAACGCUGGCGGCGUGCCUAACACAUGCAAGUCGCACGAGAAAGUCUGCCAUCGGGCGGGCGAGUAAAGUGGCGCACGGGUGAGUAACGCGUAGAUAAUCUACCCCCGGAACCGGGAUAACAGUGCGAAAGUGCUGCUAAUACCGGAUACGAUCUUUUGGCGGGAGCUGAAAGGUGAAAGUCGGCCUCACGAAGAAGCCGGUGCUCGGGGAUGAGCCUGCGUCCUAUCAGCUAGUUGGCAGGGUAACGGCCUACCAAGGCGACGACAGGUAGCUGGUCUGAGAGGAUGAUCAGCCACACUGGCACUGAAACACGGGCCAGACUCCUACGGGAGGCAGCAGUGAGGAAUUUUGCGCAAUGGGAGCAAUCCUGACGCAGCAACGCCGCGUGGGUGAUGAAGGCCUUCGGGUCGUAAAGCCCUGUCAGGUGGGAAGAAUGUCCCGGGACUGAACAGGUUUCGGGAGUGACGGUACCACCAGAGGAAGCACCGGCUAACUCCGUGCCAGCCGCCGCUGUAAUAC